UACGAAGGGGGCUAGCGUUGCUCGGAAUCACUGGGCGUAAAGCGCACGUAGGCGGCUUUCUAAGUCAGGGGUGAAAUCCUGGAGCUCAACUCCAGAACUGCCUUUGAUACUGGAGAGCUCGAGUCCGGAAGAGGUGAGUGGAACUCCGAGUGUAGAGGUGAAAUUCGUAGAUAUUCGGAAGAACACCAGUGGCGAAGGCGGCUCACUGGUCCGGUACUGACGCUGAUGUGCGAAAGCGUGGGGAGCAAACAGG
rnacentral:rRNA from 1 species